rnacentral:pre_miRNA from 1 species
UGGAAGACUAGUGAUUUUGUUGUUAUAUAUAUCACAGAACAAUAAAUCACAGUUUUCUCCGA